GGAUAGGCUGCGUGUGUAAGGCUGGUAACAGCUUCAGCUAAGCAGUACUAAUGGCCGAGGGCUUGAU
rnacentral:rRNA from 1 species